rnacentral:lncRNA from 7 species
GAGGAGACUGCCGGCUUUCCUCAGCGCUUCCCGCUACAGCUUGAAGGUGCAGAAGCUGUCACAAGACUGGUUGCCCAACGAAAUGGUUUUUAAUAUGUUACGAAGGACAAAAGCCUUCUUCUCCAGCCUGAUAUGGAGAACAAAAGACAUUUGACAACUUGCCCUCUACAAAACAUAUUUCAGCUGAUUUUACAGACCACAACAAAGCAGAUCUUAUACUUGAGAAAUGUUUUGGCUUUUUUGGUGGAUUGACAGUGGCAAACAGCCAAACUCCCACCCAACUGCUCACUCAGUCCCCACACCUCACUGAGACAGAGAGAAAUAAAACUGAGAAUAAAAAAAAUCUUUAGACU